CGUAUUAUCCCGAGAAGUAUUUUAAUAUAAGAGAGAAAAGUGAAAAAGAACUGAUCCGGCGUAAGCUAAUUAUGCUAUCAAUCUACGAAGUGUGACCUGGGUUUAGCACACCGCUGUGACGAGAGUUUUUGUCGCCCUGUGCCGGACAGGUCACCAUGGGGAUAUCUUUUAACCUCCGUCCACACCCAGAAUCAUGGAUGUAUUUUACUUUCCAGUGGAGAUCAGUGGAGUAGAAGCCAUUUUAGGACUGCGGUGUUAGUGAUUGAGUAAAAAAGACUCAGUCUUGAAGUACUAUUUAUACCAGCAAAGCAGUCUUUCUUAUUCCUCGAACUAAAUCUAGUGCAAGGCCGGGGACAGAGACUGCCAGUAGAGGGACUGUUGGGGACUUGCAUAGAUAGACGAUUAAAUUUCCCGGCUCCUUCAACCUCUCCACGCUGGUUAGAAUAAGGUAAAUCACCAAUUUAUGUAUCAGUUGUAAUCGUUUUAAGAAAUGAAUUAACUUAUUACAAUUUAUUUAUCA